rnacentral:lncRNA from 1 species
CCUUCGGUGCACAGCAUGCGGAACCGAAAUGGAGACCACUGAGCAUAUAGUGCUGAGAUGCACAGACCUUCGCCCAACCCUGGCAGAGGGAACAGUGGCAGAUAUGGAAGGGGCAUUAGGUUUUCCCGGGGAACGAGGGAAAAUAGACGAGAAAGGAGUGGCAGUAACGAAGGGGAGGCUAGAGGAUUGGUGGAGGAAGUCAAGGGAUAGAUAAUACUAUAAAUCGGGGAGAUAAUCUUUCCUCUACUGUGUUAGUUAGUUAUUUUGGGGGGAGGAGGGGAGUGAAAACUAGGUUAAGGAAAAGAGGAUAUAAAGAAAGGGGAAAAAGAAUAAUAAUAAUAAAGUAGGAAGGGGAGCAAAAGGCUAGGUGGCGCCAGCCGCCGCCCGUUACAAAGGGUAUAGCCGCCAUCCAUCCAUCCAUCCGCAGCGCGCGCCUACCUAGCCUCCCGCCGACGCAUAUGCAGGGUAAAUUACCGCGCGCGAGGAGCGUGAAAUGUGCUUCAUCAGAGUUUUCGGCUUUUGUUCGGUUGACCAAAGACGAAGGCCCCUCCCUACAAUCACCAAUCACCGCUGCAUGGCCCCGGCUGACCCAAUCACUUUGGCUUCCAAGGUACUGCACCAUUACCAGUAAAAGGUAGUGAUUAUACACUUCAUCUUUAAAAGAUAAAGGUAGUCCUUAGGAUUUGUAAAUGUACAGGUUGCCCACUGAGAGUAUUCAAGUGCUUAUAGCAGCCUAACUUUGGAAUGAAGGCCCACAUGUUAAACUUUUAUUCAUAAAUUACUGCAUUGGGCAUCAUAUUGCAUGGUCACUUCUUUUUUUUUAGAGAAGAGGAAUGUUCAAGUAACACUCUCUUGAAUACUACGUUACCUUA